rnacentral:tRNA from 1 species
GCGAUCAUAGCUCAGUUGGUUAGAGUGCCGGAUUGUGGUUCCGAAGGUCGUGGGUUCGACUCCCACUGGUCGCCCCA